AGCUGCUGGUAACCUGGGCUCUUAGGGAUGGAGGACUGGAAUCGUCUGAUUUUUCCUUCAGAUACCUUAGUCUGGGGUGGCAUCCUGUGAUGGGGCAAUGAGUCCCCUCUCACCAUGUCUGGCUGCUUCCGACCCAGAUGCCACGUGAUGGUCAUUUGAAGACAGGCCUGCCGGACAUCAGGAGGUUGUAAUCUAACAUGAGGAAUGAAAACCCUUCCACCCUGCCUCUAACUAGCUGUGGGGCUGUGUGAGUGCCAUGUUGGUCAGCCUGGAUGGAGGAGAGACUGGAAUCAGGGACCAGUAAGGGAGGCCUAACAGUGGUUUGGAAGAAAUGUGAUGGGGGUCUGCAUUAGGAUGGUGGAAUGGGAAGGAGAAGCUGGAUUGUGAGAUAAUUGACAGAACUUGUCAGCUGGCUGGUUGGUGGAAA